UUUAACACUUUUUUAGAUGUAAUUACCACAUUCUUGGAGACACUUAUGUCUCCUUAAUUUAAUCGGAAUCAAGAUCGGGAAAUGUACAAAGUGUUGAACACAAAUGUCAAUGCCAAAUAUGUCCCAUUUGCCGUUUCAUUCCGAGUGCAAGUGUAGCGCAAAGCGCAGUUUAAUUGCGUGUGGGUAGAAUUAUCUUUGUUUUGGUAAUUUCAUAGACUGCAGGUAGAAUUGGGUGUUAAUGGAGCAUUGCACCUAUGUUUGCUGUUAUGGGAUUGAAGCAGCCAACUCCCUGCCAAUCAAAGCAGCUCCCUUCAAUCUCAUUAAAAUGAGGGCAGUGGAAAGCGCACAUUGUAGUAAACAUGUUCAUAUCGGUAAACUACAAGAUCUUACUUUGCAGAAGAUGUCUUCAGCCACACAUGUCACAUGGGCAAUUGGACCCUCACAAGGGUCGCGGUUGUGCUGGAGGCUAUCCCAGCUGUCUUAGGGCAAUAGGUGAGGUAAACCCUGAAUUGAUUUCCAGCCAAUCGCUGGACACAUAUAGACGAACAACCGUUUGCGCGCACACUAACACCUAGAGCAGUGGUGGGCAAACUACGGCCCGCGGGCCAAAUCCGGCCCGUUGGUCUUUUUAAUCCGGCCCGCCGAAGGUUGGUCCACAGUUAAGGUUCGAUGUGAAUGAUUGCAUUCAUUUCAAUUGGACUUGUAAUGAUAGGCAUUUCACCGCCAGGUGGCGCAUUGACUUGAAGUUGUAGAACAUAGGUGGGGGGGGGGGUCUUUUCGACCUCUGUAUCGCUCUACUUCUACUGGUCUGAUCAGAACUCAUCUGCAGCAAUGCACAGGCUAAAAUAGGUCAUCAACAACACUGUUGUCAUUUAAAAAAGUAUAUUAAUAAGGUACUUUCAUGCUUUUGUUCUGUUGAUGUUUGACAUGGAAAUGCAGUUUUGUUUUUGUUUUUUAUGUACCAUAGCUCGUGCUGACCUGGCCAUUCUGUCAAAUUUUAAAAGUCAAUGCGGCCCCCGAGCCAAAAAAGUUUGCCCACCC